AUUCAUUUGCAGAGUCUGAAAGUGACCGCUAACCUUUCUAACAUUCCUUAAAUUACAGUUAAGUUAAAAAAGACAGGUUCUGUUGUUGUUUCUAGCUGAAGACAGCAUAUGAUCUGUAGCUUCUGAAAGAGCUGUUUCAUUUUUUAGCAGCAGGAUUGGAAGUCAUGAAUCAGAGGCUAGCUUCAGUGUUGUGUUAGUCUUAGAUUUGAAUCAGGCUACCCUUUGUAUGUGGUGAAGAGAAAAGUGACGCUGAAAGGAACUAUGAUGUAGGUGAUACGGAACUCUUAGCCAUCAAAUUGGCUCUGGAGGAGUGGCAUCACUGGCUAGAGCGGGCUGAACACCCAGUCUUAGUGUUGACGGACUACAAGAAUACCAGGCUCCAAGAAUGCCAACCCUGAAGCCCUUU